GUGGGGAAUAUUGCGCAAUGGGGGAAACCCUGACGCAGCGACGCCGUGUGAGGGAAGAAGGCUUUCGGGUCGUAAACCUCUGUCAGGAAGGAAGAACCUCUCAAGGCUGAACAAGCCUUGGGACUGACGGUACUUCCAGAGGAAGCACCGGCUAACUCCGUGCCAGCAGCCGCGGUAAUACGGAGGGUGCAAGCGUUAAUCGGAAUCACUGGGCGUAAAGCGCGCGUAGGCCGUCUUUUAAGUCGGACGUGAAAGCCCUCGGCUCAACCGGGGAACUGCGUUCGAUACUGGGGGACUUGAGUCCUGGAGAGGGUGGCGGAAUUCCGGGUGUAGGAGUGAAAUCCGUAGAUAUCCGGAGGAACACCGGUGGCGAAGGCGGCCACCUGGACAGGUACUGACGCUGAGGCGCGAAAGCGUGGGGAGCAAACAGGAUUAGAAACCCGAGUAGUCC
rnacentral:rRNA from 1 species